rnacentral:rRNA from 1 species
CCUACGGGUGGCACCAGUGGGGAAUAUUGCACAAUGGGCGCAAGCCUGAUGCAGCCAUGCCGCGUGUAUGAAGAAGGCCUUAGGGUUGUAAAGUACUCUCAGUUGGGAGGAAGGCGUUGAUGCUAAUAUCAUCAACGAUUGACGUUACCAACAGAAGAAGCACCGGCUAACUCCGUGCCAGCAGCCGCGGUAAUACGGAGGGUGCAAGCGUUAAUCGGAAUUACUGGGCGUAAAGCGCACGCAGGCGGUUGAUUAAGUUAGAUGUGAAAUCCCCGGGCUUAACCUGGGAAUGGCAUCUAAGACUGGUCAGCUAGAGUCUUGUAGAGGGGGGUAGAAUUCCAUGUGUAGCGGUGAAAUGCGUAGAGAUGUGGAGGAAUACCGGUGGCGAAGGCGGCCCCCUGGACAAAGACUGACGCUCAGGUGCGAAAGCGUGGGGAGCAAACAGGAUUAGAUACCCCCGUAGUC